rnacentral:rRNA from 1 species
CAGACAGUGAGGAUGUUGGCUUAGAAGCAGCCACCAUUUAAAAAAUGCGUAAUAGCUUACUCAUCGAGUGAUCCUGCGCCGAAAAUGAUUGGCGAUCAAGCGUUAUACCGAAGCUCUGGACUUUGCCGCAAGGCAGAGUGGUAGAAGAGCGUUGCAUGCGCGUCGAAGGGCGAUGGCGACUGACCCUGGAGCACAUGCAAGUGAGUAUGCAGACAUGAGUAACGUUAAGCCGGGUGAAAUCCCCGGCCGCCGUAAACCCGAGGUUUCCAGGGCAACGUGUUUCGUCCCUGGGUUAGCCGGGACCUAAGCCGAGGCCGAGAGGCGUAGGCGAUGGACAUCAGGUUAAUAAUCCUGAGCUCGCAACCCUUAAACUGGGGGGACGCAUGAGAAAAGAUGACUAGGUUAUUGAAUUCCGAGUUGAGUCCACGGACUCAGCGCAUCAUUGGAUCGAGUGCCAAGAAAAGCCCCAGCGUAUGCUAAGCGACCCGUACCGCAAACCGACACAGGUGGGUGGGUAGAAUAUACCAAGGCGUAAGAGUGAAACCUGGUUAAGGAACUCGGCAAAUUAGCCCCGUAACUUCGGAAGAAGGGGUGCCUGCAGCGAUGCAGGCCGCAGAGAAAUGGCUCAACCGACUGUUUAUCAAAAACACAGCACUCUGCAAAGACGCAAGUCGAAGUAUAGGGUGUGACACGUGACCAAUGCCGAAAGAUUAAGGCAAGGGGUUAGCCGCAAGGCGAAGCUCUAAACCCAAGUCCCGGUGAAUGUCGGCCGUAACUAUAACGGUCCUAAGGUAGCGAAAUUCCUUGUCGGGUAAGUUCCGACCUGCACGAAUCGUGAAACGAGUUGGGCACUGUCUCAACCAGGCGCUCAGUGAAAUUGUAGUGGCGGUGAAGAUGCCGCCUACCCGCAGAAGGACGGAAAGACCCUAUAGACCUUAACUGUAAGCUGUCAUUGUUUCUUCGGUUUUAAUGCUCAGAGUAAGUGGGAGACGCUGAAGACGCCCUUUAGGGGGCGUCCGAGUCAUCAAUGAGACACCACCCUUUGAAACUGGAGGAUCUAACCCUGAGCCGUGAAUCCGGCCAGAGGACCGUGUCAGCCGGUCAGUUUUACUGGGGCGGUAUCCUCCCAAAGAGUAACGGAGGAGCGCGAAGGUGGGCUCAGCCCGGUUGGCAACCGGGUGUCGAGUGCAUGGGCAUAAGCCCGCCUAACUGUGAGACCAACAAGUCGAGCAGAUGCGAAAGCAGGCCCAAGUGAUCCGGCGGUAGAAAGUGGAAUUGCCGUCGCUCAACGGAUAAAAGGUACCUUAGGGAUAACAGGCUGAUCACGCCCAAGAGUUCAUAUCGACGGCGUGGUUUGGCACCUCGAUGUCGGCUCGUCGCAUCCUGGGGCUGGAGAAGGUCCCAAGGGUCCGGCUGUUCGCCGGUUAAAGCGGCACGCGAGCUGGGUUCAGAACGUCGCGAGACAGUUCGGUCCUCUAUCCUCUGUGGGCGUUGGAAAAUUGAGGGGUUCAGACCUUAGUACGAGAGGACCGGGUCUGACGCACCACUGGUGCAUCGGUUGUACUGUCAAGUGCAUGGCCGAGUAGCUAAGUGCGGACGGGAUAAGCGCUGAAAGCAUCUAAGCGCCAAGCCCUUCCCAAGAUGAGUUUUCCCUACAGGUUCGUGGAAGACCACCACGUUGAUAGGUCGCAGGUGUAAGUGCAGCAAUGUAUUGAGCCGA